rnacentral:rRNA from 1 species
UACGUAGGGUGCGAGCGUUAAUCGGAAUUACUGGGCGUAAAGGGUGCGUAGGCGGCGGGGCAAGUCAGGUGUGAAAUCUCGGGGCUCAACCCCGAAACUGCACUUGAUACUGCCUUGCUCGAGUACUGGAGAGGAGACUGGAAUUUACGGUGUAGCAGUGAAAUGCGUAGAUAUCGUAAGGAAGACCAGUGGCGAAGGCGAGUCUCUGGACAGUUACUGACGCUGAGGCACGAAGGCCAGGGGAGCAAACGGG